UACGUAGGGGGCAAGCGUUGUCCGGAUUUAUUGGGCGUAAAGAGCGUGUAGGCGGCCAUACAGGUCCGUUGUGAAAACUGGAGGCUUAACCUCCAGACGUCGAUGGAAACCGUAUGGCUAGAGUCCGGAAGAGGAGAGUGGAAUUCCUGGUGUAGCGGUGAAAUGCGCAGAUAUCAGGAAGAACGCCCGUGGCGAAGGCGGCUCUCUGGGACGGUACUGACGCUGAGACGCGAAAGCGUGGGGAGCGAACAGG
rnacentral:rRNA from 1 species